rnacentral:rRNA from 1 species
UACGAAGGGGGCUAGCGUUACUCGGAUUGACUGGGCGUAAAGGGCGCGUAGGCGGUUUGUCCAGUCAGACGUGAAAUUCCUGGGCUCAACCUGGGGGCUGCGUUUGAUACGUGCAGACUUGAGUUCGGAAGAGGGUCGUGGAAUUCCCAGUGUAGAGGUGAAAUUCGUAGAUAUUGGGAAGAACACCGGUGGCGAAGGCGGCGACCUGGUCCGAUACUGACGCUGAGGCGCGAAAGCGUGGGGAGCAAACAGG